GCAAUAACAGGUCUGUGAUGCCCUUAGAUGUUCUGGGCCGCACGCGCGCUACACUGACGAAUGCAACGAGCUUAUAACCUUGGCCGAAAGGUCUGGGUAAUCUCCAAAUUUCGUCGUGAUGGGGAUAGAUUAUUGCAAUUAUUAAUCUUCAACGAGGAAUGCCUAGUAAGCGCAAGUCAUCAGCUUGCGUUGAUUACGUCCCUGCCCUUUGUACACACCGCCCGUCGCACCUACCGAUUGAAUGUCUCGGUGAAAUCCCCGGAC
rnacentral:rRNA from 14 species